CCAAUAGCGUAUAUUAAAGUUGUUGCAGUUAAAAAGCUCGUAGUUGAAUUUCGGGAUCAGUACGCUGGUCGUGCCUUCGGUAUGUACUGGUGUUACUGGUUCCUACCUUCUGACGAACCGUCAUGUCAUUAAUUUGGUGUGGCGGGAAAUCAGGACUGUUACUUUGAAAAAAUUAGAGUGUUUAAAGCAGGCUCGCGCUUGAAUACAUUAGCAUGAAAUAAUGAAAUAGGACGUUCGAUCCUAUUUUGUUGGUUUCUAGGAUUGACGUAAUGAUUAAUAGGGAUAGUUGGGGGCAUCAGUAUUCAAUUGUCAGAGGUGAAAUUCUUGGAUUUAUUGAAGACUAACUACUGCGAAAGCAUUUGCCAAGGAUGUUUUCAUUAAUCAAGAACGAAAGUUAGGGGAUCGAAGACGAUCAGAUACCGUCGUAGUCUUAACCAUAAACUAUGCCGACUAGGGAUCGGAUGAUGUUAAUUUUUUAAUGACUCAUUCGGCGCCUUACG
rnacentral:misc_RNA from 1 species